AGACUCUGUGAUGGCAGCACUUUUGGAGAUUGCUGACUCCAAAUCAGUAUGAUUACUACAUGCUGACACUUAAGGAAGUUUGCAGUCUAAGAACCAUGAUCCUGCGGCACUGGAGCAUGACUAAAAGCAGCCAGAGAGGGAAUCUGGAGGAUAUCUUCCAAGAGGGAGUUCAGAAACAGAGUUCUCAAUCGAUAAAAUGUAGCCUGCACUCUGGUGGAACCUAGGAACCAAACACUGAUGACCAUGAAUUACAGCCACAUAGUAUGAAAGGAGUCCCAUGCCUUCCACUUAUCUUUCUUUUCUACGGCCUGCCUGUGCAUCUGUCUAUCUCUGCAUGUAUCAACAAGAACUGUAUAAUGUGGCAGCUAAGUCUGUACCUCACCUACCCAAAUCUUUGAAGCCACGAAGACAAGGGACAAGUCUCCAGCAUUCCUUGCCUUUUUCACCUGCAAUGCUGUUGACAGCACACUUCAGUACUCGAUAAAACCUUCACUUCUGUCUCCAGCACGUACUGAAAACCAAUACAUAUAUCAGCUUCCUCCAAUGUGCUCUGUCAUGCAAAACCUUAAUGAUGACCUCAUAGUCUCUUGUCUCAGGCAUUCGUUGAGUCCGACUCCAUUGUCACAUAGUUUAUUUAUUUGGAAAAGUUAUUCUGCUUUUAACAUUUAUUGAGGUCACUGUUAACGCUUUGCAUGACAGAACUGGGGAAUACACAGGCCCUGGUUAUAACUAAACUCAUAUUGCUUAUUUAAUUCAACAUGUCCUUAAACAUUCAAGCAGUUCAUAAGCUACAAUACACA